rnacentral:rRNA from 1 species
UGGGUAAUCUGCCCUCGGCAUCGGGAUAGCCCGGGGAAACCCGGAUUAAUACCGGAUGGCCCGACAGCUCUUCGGAGCGGUCGGAAAAGGUAGCUUCGGCCUCCGGCCGAGGAGGAGCCCGCGGCGGAUUACCUUGUUGGUGAGGUAACGGCUCACCAAGGCUCCGAUCCGUAGCUGGUCUGAGAGGACGAUCAGCCACACUGGGACUGAGACACGGCCCACACUCCUACGGGAGGCAGCAGUGGGGAAUCUUGCGCAAUGGGCGAAAGCCUGACGCAGCGACGCCGCGUGAGUGGAAGAAGGCCUUCGGGUUGUAAACCUCUUUCAGGAGGGACGAACCCACUCGGGUUAAUAUCCCAGAGGGUGACGGUACCUCCAGAAGAAGCCCCGGCUAACUACGUGCCAGCAGCCGCGGUAAUACGUAAGGGGCUAGCGUUGUCCGGAUUUAUUGGGCGUAAAGAGCGUGUAGGCGGCCAGGUAGGUCUGCUGUGAAAACUCCAGGCUCAACCUCGAGACGUCCGCGGAAACCAUCUGGCUAGAGUCCGGAAAAAGAAAAUGGAAUUCCUGGUGUAACGGUGAAAUGCGCAAAUAUCAUGAAGAACACCCGUGGCGAAGGCGGCUCUCUGGGACGGUACUGACGCUGAAACGCGAAAGCGUGGGGAGCGAACAGGAUUAAAUACCCUGGUAGUCCACGCCGUAAACGAUGGGUGCUAGGUGUGGGCGGUGUCGACUCCGUCCGUGCCGAAACUAACGCAUUAAGCACCCCGCCUGGGGAGUACGGCCGCAAGGCUAAAACUCAAAGGAAUUGACGGGGGCCCGCACAAGCAGCGGAACAUGUGGUUCAAUUCGACGCAACGCGAAAAACCUUACCGAGACUUGACAUGCACUGGAAUGUCGUAGAAAUACGGCAUCCCUUCUGGGCUAGUGCACAGGUGGUGCAUGGCUGUCUUCCGCUCGUGUCGUGAGAUGUUUGGGUUAAGUCCCGCAACGAGCGCAACCCCCUGUCCUUAUGUUGCCAGCGAGUAAUGUCGUGGGACUCAUAAGAGACUGCCCGUGAGACAUCGGAAGAAGAGU